GUUUCAUCACCUUAGGCCCACUUUUACUCUUCUUAAAAUGGGGACACUGGCACCAACACCCAUGUUUUAGGCCCUUGCCAAAAAGAUGCAUUAUAUUAAAUUAGAAGCCUUGGCGCUAAUAGGCUGUUGCUUUCAAGUUGCCUCAAAGCAAUUCCGCUGGGUAUUCGAUCACAACCGGAGAAUCAGUCAACUGCCCUUGAAGCAUUUCAUGGUCCCCUGUACCUUUCAGAGCUCCUUUGUGUGCCAUCCCACCCUCUGAGGAUUGAAGAGCUGGGCCUAUUGAAGUCUGGAUAUCGCAGGAGCAGGAGGGGCAGCGUCUGUAUUGAGAUUCUCUGGCCCUGGAAUUCAGGCACAUUGAGGAAGACCAGGGAAAUCAGGCGGUUAUACCAGGACAUAAUGAAGAAUUAAAUUGCAAUGCCCCUAAUGGAGCAAAACUGCCAGUUAAAGAAACAUCAAAACACUGGGCCUCAUCCUUUGAUACAAGGCAUUGAAAAUGGAGAUGAUUGACUUCUAAUGCUGUGUGUUCUAGGAAUGUGUUUUGGCAUUAAUUAUAUCAGUACUUUAA